UAACGCGUGAGAAUCUACCUUCUAGAUGGGGACAACCGUUGGAAACGACGGCUAAUCCCCAAUAAGCCGAGAGGUGAAACGGGUAUCCGCUAGAAGAGGAGCUCGCGUCCGAUUAGUUAGUUGGUGGGGUAAAAGCCUACCAAGGCAGCGAUCGGUAGCUGGUCUGAGAGGAUGAGCAGCCACACUGGGACUGAGACACGGCCCAGACUCCUACGGGAGGCAGCAGUGGGGAAUUUUCCGCAAUGGGCGAAAGCCUGACGGAGCAACGCCGCGUGUGGGAAGAAGGCUCUUGGGCUGUCAACCACUUUUCUCAGGGAAGAAGACCUGACGGUACCUGAGGAAUCAGCCUCGGCUAACUCCGUGCCAGCAGCCGCGGUAAUACGGAGGAGGCAAGCGUUAUCCGGAAUUAUUGGGCGUAAAGCGUCCGCAGGGGGCGCAUCAAGUCUGCUGUUAAAGGUCGGAGCUAAACUCCGGUAGAGCAGUGGAAACUGGUGCGCUAGAGGGCGACAGGGGUAGAGGGAAUUCCCAGUGUAGCGGUGAAAUGCGUAGAGAUUGGGAAGAACACCGGUGGCGAAAGCGCUCUACUGGGUCGCACCUGACCCUCAGGGACGAAAGCUAAGGUAGCGAAAGGGAUUAGAUACCCCUGUAGUCUUAGCCGUAAACGAUGGAUACUAGGCGUGGUUUGUAUCGACCCAAGCCGUGCCGAAGCUAACGCGUUAAGUAUCCCGCCUGGGGAGUACGCACGCAAGUGUGAAACUCAAAGGAAUUGACGGGGGCCCGCACAAGCGGUGGAGGAUGUGGUUUAAUUCGAUGCAACGCGAAGAACCUUACCAGGGCUUGACACCCCGCGAAGUUUGGGGAAACUCAGACGUGCCUACGGGAACGCGGAGACAGGUGGUGCAUGGCUGUCGUCAGCUCGUGUCGUGAGAUGUUGGGUUAAGUCCCGCAACGAGCGCAACCCUCGUCCUUAGCUGCCAGCAUUAAGUUGGGCACUCUAGGGAGACUGCCGGUGACAAACCGGAGGAAGGUGAGGAUGACGUCAAGUCAGCAUGCCCCUUAUGCUCUGGGCAACACACGUCCUACAAUGGUCGGGACAAAGGGGAGCGAGCUCGCGAGAGUAAGCGAAUCCCAGCA
rnacentral:rRNA from 1 species